rnacentral:lncRNA from 1 species
UUUGAGCUUGGAACUUCAAGGUAACUAUUUUGCACAUCAUUCAUAAAGGACUAUGACAAUCAAAUAUUGUAAUUAUUAUGUCGAAUUUUGUGUCUGGUCAGAUUUCACUUCACUCUUUGCAAUGAAAAAUUUUAAACUUUGCUAUAGUCCGUUUUCAACAUUCAAAUUUUGUUCAUAAUUCAAAAACCAUGAUAAUUUUGAGUUCUCAUUUUGAGACUCACCAUAGGUUGCAUUACUUGAUAUGUUCUCAAUAUAAUAUAAAACUUGCCUAUCUAUCAAUUUAGAAGCCUUUUACAAGCAAAUAUGCUCCUCUACAAAGCUUUGGAUUACUUUAUAUUGAAUCUGAAUCAACAAAUUACAUCAUCUAAAAUUACUUGAUGAUAAUGUCAACUAUUUAUCAAAUUAAACUAUGCUUUGUUUUCAAAGAAAUCAAUUUAUACAUGUCUAAAUUUCCA